AUGCACGCUGACAGAAUGCUUAACCCAUGCCCGUCCACUUGAACUUCGGUUUGGGUGGCGGCCGGGUGAGAACCGCGUAAAGAACUUGCCUCACAGCUAGGGACAACAUUUGGAAACGAAUGCUAAUACCUGAUAUUAUGAUUAUAUGGCAUCGUAUAAUUAUGAAAGCUAUAUGCGCUGUGAGAGAGCUUUGCGUCCCAUUAGCUAGUUGGAGAGGUAACAGCUCACCAAGGCGAUGAUGGGUAGCCGGCCUGAGAGGGUGAUCGGCCACAAGGGGACUGAGACACGGCCCUUACUCCUACGGGAGGCAGCAGUGGGGAAUAUUGGACAAUGGACCGAGAGUCUGAUCCAGCAAUUCUGUGUGCACGAUGAAGUUUUUCGGAAUGUAAAGUGCUUUCAGUUGGGAAGAAAAAAAUGACGGUACCAACAGAAGAAGUGACGGCUAAAUACGUG
rnacentral:rRNA from 1 species